GUCUGGUUGGCUCAAUCGGUAGAGCAUGAGACUCCUGAUCUUGGGGUCAUGAGUUCGAGCCCCACAUUGGGCA